rnacentral:misc_RNA from 1 species
UCCGAGUUGACCCCGGCAGUCUCCGAUGAGUCCCCGCCAUAACGCGCUGGCAACAUCGAACGAGGGUUGCGCUCGUUGCGGGACUUAACCCAACAUCUCACGACACGAGCUGACGACAACCAUGCACCACCUGUACACCGCCCCGAAGGACCCCGUGUCUCCACGAGUUUUCGGUGUAUGUCAAGCCUUGGUAAGGUUCUUCGCGUUGCAUCGAAUUAAGCCGCAUGCUCCGCCGCUUGUGCGGGCCCCCGUCAAUUCCUUUGAGUUUUAGCCUUGCGGCCGUACUCCCCAGGCGGGGCGCUUAAUGCGUUAGCUACGGCACAGAGAUCGUGGAAAGAUCCCCACACCUAGCGCCCAACGUUUACAGCGUGGACUAC